rnacentral:rRNA from 1 species
AGCGAACGCUGGCGGCAGGCUUAACACAUGGAAGUCGAACGGGCACUUCGGUGUCAGUGGCAGACGGGUGAGUAACACGUGGGAACGUACCUCUUGGUUCGGAACAACACAGGGAAACUUGUGCUAAUACCGGAUAAGCCCUUACGGGGAAAGAUUUAUCGCCGAGAGAUCGGCCCGCGUCUGAUUAGCUAGUUGGUCGGGUAACGGCCUACCAAGGCGACGAUCAGUAGCUGGUCUGAGAGGAUGAUCAGCCACAUUGGGACUGAGACACGGCCCAAACUCCUACGGGAGGCAGCAGUGGGGAAUAUUGGACAAUGGGGGCAACCCUGAUCCAGCCAUGCCGCGUGAGUGAUGAAGGCCCUAGGGUUGUAAAGCUCUUUUGUGCGGGAAGAUAAUGACGGUACCGCAAGAAUAAGCCCCGGCUAACUUCGUGCCAGCCGCCGCCGUAA